rnacentral:rRNA from 1 species
UACGUAGGGUGCGAGCGCUGUCCGGAAUUAUUGGGCGUAAAGAGCUUGUAGGUGGCUCGUCGCGUCGGGCGUGAAAACCCGCGGCUUAACCGCGGGCCUGCUUUCGAUACGGGCGGGCUAGAGUUCGGCAGGGGAGACUGGAAUUCCUGGUGUAGCGGUGGAAUGCGCAGAUAUCAGGAGGAACACCGGUGGCGAAGGCGGGUCUCUGGGCCGAUACUGACACUGAGAAGCGAAAGCGUGGGGAGCGAGCAGG